UACUCGGCUAUUUCCGUAACCGCAAAUAACUUACCGGUUACGGAAAAAGACGAGCGCGUGAUCCGAUAGUCUAAAUGUAGGUCACCUACACGUUUGUCAAUACAGUGUUCUACGAGACAAGUGGGGAGUAAAACAGCUUGUUGACCUAAGCUAGUGUAGCAGCCAAUUUCUACAUUUAAAUUUUUGCGCCAAUUUGUACACGUUAUCCGCGCGCUACGUCAUAGUUUUUAGGGCACAUAUAUUUUUUUGUGUAAGCACGAGCUCGCUGCGAAGAAUGUGAGUAUUAUGUUCCUGUUUCACUGGACAUUGUACUGAACUGCCGUUUCCUAGAGAAACUACUUAUUCGUAUAUCGUAUGAAGUUGAGGAAGUCACAUGAUGCCAAUCAUUGACUUAAGAAUAAAUUUUCCAGGCAUACGC